rnacentral:rRNA from 1 species
GACGAACGCUGGCGGCGUGCCUAAUACAUGCAAGUCGAACGGUCUUUUCUAUGGAAGCUUGCUUCCACUGAGAAGAUAGUGGCGAACGGGUGAGUAACACGUGGGUAACCUGCCCAUAAGAGGGGGAUAACAUCCGGAAACGGGUGCUAAUACCGCAUAGGUUCUUGAUCGCAUGAUCGAGAAAGGAAAGACGGCCUUUGUGCUGUCGCUUAUGGAUGGACCCGCGGCGUAUAGUUAGUUGGUGAGGUAACGGCUCACCAAGACGAUGAUACGUAGCCGACCUGAGAGGGUGAUCGGCCACAUUGGGACUGAGACACGGCCCAAACUCCUACGGGAGGCAGCAGUAGGGAGUCUUCCGCAAUGGACGAAAGUCUGACGGAGCAACGCCGCGUGAGUGAAGAAGGUUUUCGGAUCGUAAAACUCUGUUGUCAGAGAAGAACAAGUCGGAGAGUAACUGCUCCGGCCUUGACGGUAUCUGACCAGAAAGCCACGGCUAACUACGUGCCAGCCGCCGCGGUAAUAC